rnacentral:pre_miRNA from 1 species
ACAACAUUCGGACCGUCGGUCUACCGAGUAAUAUUACGCGCUCGGUGGAAUAUAUUUCCCUCCUUAU